ACAAUGAAGAGUUUGAUCCUGGCUCAGGAUGAACGCUAGCGGCAGGCUUAACACAUGCAAGUCGAGGGGCAGCAU
rnacentral:rRNA from 1 species